rnacentral:rRNA from 1 species
GAGCGAACAGACGAGGAGCUUGCUCCUCUGACGUUAGCGGCGGACGGGUGAGUAACACGUGGAUAACCUACCUAUAAGACUGGGAUAACUUCGGGAAACCGGAGCUAAUACCGGAUAAUAUAUUGAACCGCAUGGUUCAAUAGUGAAAGACGGUUUUGCUGUCACUUAUAGAUGGAUCCGCGCCGCAUUAGCUAGUUGGUAAGGUAACGGCUUACCAAGGCAACGAUGCGUAGCCGACCUGAGAGGGUGAUCGGCCACACUGGAACUGAGACACGGUCCAGACUCCUACGGGAGGCAGCAGUAGGGAAUCUUCCGCAAUGGGCGAAAGCCUGACGGAGCAACGCCGCGUGAGUGAUGAAGGUCUUCGGAUCGUAAAACUCUGUUAUUAGGGAAGAACAAAUGUGUAAGUAACUAUGCACGUCUUGACGGUACCUAAUCAGAAAGCCACGGCUAACUACGUGCCAGCAGCCGCGGUAAUACGUAGGUGGCAAGCGUUAUCCGGAAUUAUUGGGCGUAAAGCGCGCGUAGGCGGUUUUUUAAGUCUGAUGUGAAAGCCCACGGCUCAACCGUGGAGGGUCAUUGGAAACUGGGAAACUUGAGUGCAGAAGAGGAAAGUGGAAUUCCAUGUGUAGCGGUGAAAUGCGCAGAGAUAUGGAGGAACACCAGUGGCGAAGGCGACUUUCUGGUCUGUAACUGACGCUGAUGUGCGAAAGCGUGGGGAU